UACGCUCAGCCCGGGUAGGGGACCCCGUA
rnacentral:sRNA from 1 species